UAUGAGUUAACCCUUCGUAUAUCCUCGAUAAUAUGGAUCGAAAGUUUCUACCAGACCACCGUAAAUGGUUUGACUAUGAAGGCAGCUAUUCU
rnacentral:ncRNA from 1 species